UAAUACCGCAUAACGUCGCAAGACCAAAGAGGGGAACCUUCGGGCCUCUUGCCAUCGGAUGUGCCCAGAUGGGAUUAGCUAGUAGGUGGGGUAACGGCUCACCUAGGCGACGAUCCCUAGCUGGUCUGAGAGGAUGACCAGCCACACUGGAACUGAGACACGGUCCAGACUCCUACGGGAGGCAGCAUG
rnacentral:rRNA from 1 species